UACGGGAGGCAGCAGUAAGGAAUCUUCCACAAUGGGGGCAACCCUGAUGGAGCAACUCCGCGUGCAGGACGAAGGCCUUCGGGUCGUAAACUGCUUUUAUGAGUGAAGAAUAUGACGGUAACUCAUGAAUAAGGAUCGGCUAACUACGUGCCAGCAGCCGCGGUAAU
rnacentral:rRNA from 1 species